CUUCCAGCCCUCAGCCGAGCCUCAGCCCAGGCAGCAGGCAGCAGGCCUGCCAAACGGCAGAGGUGCCACAAGGGAAAGGAAACGUGCCCGGUAACAGCAAGUUCCAGACUCCAGCCCCCAGUUCCGAGUGGUUUUGGAUUCGAAGAAGACAAGUUGAGAAAGAGGAAAUCAAUGAGAUCCAGGUGGUGAGUGAGGAGGAGCCUCAGAGGGACAGGCUGGGGCUGCCACAGGACCAGGCCGGGAGCAGGUGGUGGACAGACAGACCUGUAGACGGAAGAGGCUUCGGGGGAGCCAGAGAACUGGGCCGGACCCCACAGGUCCAGCUGCCCUGUCAGUGAGCCAGGAAAAUCCGGAGAUGGAGGGCCCCGAGCGAGACCAGCUUGUCAUCCCCGAUGGACAGAGGAGGAGCCGGAAGCUGCCAGGGAAGGUGGGGAGAAACCAGCAGAAACUGAGAGGAGAAGAUGACUACAACAUGGAUGAAAAUGAGGCGGAAUCUGAGACAGACAAGCAGGCAGCCCUGGCAGGGAAUGACAGAAACAUAGAUGUUUUUAAUGUUGAAGAUCAGAAAAGAGACACCAUAAAUUUACUUGAUCAGCAUGAAAAGCGGAAUCAUACAGUCUGAAUUGAACUGGAAUCACAUUUCACAUCAGGACUGAAGAGAUGAGUAUAAAUGUUCAUGAGGGACUGAAUACUGACAACUGUGAAAUGUACUGAAUAAAAUGUACAUCUAAAAAUGAUUAUUGUGAAAUUUUAGUAUGUACUGUGUGUAGGAAAAGAUUGGUCUUUUAAAGAGUUUUUUGGGGGUACUUUUGAAGUGUCUAAUAAGAUGUCACAAUUUUUGAUAAUAGGUAUUUCAUGAGAAGUUCAACACCAAAAAUGGAACAUAGUUCUUCAAGUGUUGGUGACAGUGGGGCUUCCUGAUUCUGGAAUAUAACUUUGUGUAAAUUAAUAGCCACCUAUAGGAAGAGUCCAUCUGCUGUGAAGGAGAGACAGAGAACUCUGGGUUCCCUCUGAUGUCCUCCUUUCCAUGCGUUGGUGCCAGCCUGUUAUCUGUUCUCACUGACUGACUGGCUUAUGCUCUUGUGCAGUCACUUCUGAUUCUGACAAUCAAUGGCCUAGAACACUGACUGUUAACACAAAUGUCACUAGCAAACUAGCAACAGCUUUAAGUCUAAAUACAAAGCUGUUUUGUGUGAGAAUUUUUAAAAAGGCUACUUGUAUAAUAACCCUUGUCAUUUUUAAUGUGCAAAACGCUAUUAAGUGGCUUACAAUGUGAACAUUUGUGGUCUGUAUUUACUUUGCUUCCUGUGUGUGGGCAAAGCAGCACCUUCCCUAAAUAUAUAUUACCAAGAAAAGCAAGGAGAUUAGGCUUUUGACAAAACAGGCCAAAAGGGGGCUGACCUGGAGCAGAGUACAGUGAGAGGCGAGGCAUGAGAGGCGAGUUUGUUGUGGACAGAUCUGUGCCUACUUUAUUACUGGAGUAAAAGAAAACAAAGUUCACUGAUGUUGAAGGAUAUAUACAGUGUUAGAAAUUGGGACUGUUUAGAAAAACAGGAACACAAUGGUUGUUUUUGUCAUAGUGUACACAAUUUAGCUUAUAGUAAAUGACUCACAAAACUGAUAUUAAAAUCAAGUUAAUUUUGAAAAUUACUAUUUAAUCCUAAUUCACAAUAACAAUGGCAUUAAGGUUUGACUUGAGUUGGUUCUUAGUAUUAUUUAUGGUAAAUAGGCUCUUACCACUUGCAAAUAACUGGCCACACCAUUAAUGACUGACUUCCCAGCAAGGCUCUCUAAGGAUGAGUGGGAGGAUCCACAGGAUUUGAGAUGCUGAGGCCCAAGAGAUCUUUUGAUCCAACCCUCUUAUUUUCAGAGGGGCAAUGGGGCCUAGAAGUUACGGAGCAUCUAGCUGGUGUGCUGGCACCCUGGGCCUCACACAGACUCCCAAGUAGCUGGGACUACAGGCACACAGUCACUGAAGCAGGCCCUGUUUGCAUUUCAUGCUGCCACCUCCAACUUAAACAUCUUCAUGUCUGAUGUCCUUUUACCUCGUCGCUAAGGUUAAACUUUCCCACCCAGAAAAGGCAACUUAGAUAAACUCUUAAGAGUACUUUCAUACUCUAAGUCCUCUUCCAGCCUCACUUUGAGUCCUUCUUGGGGUUGAUAGAAAUUUUCUCUUGCUUUCUCAAUAAAGUCUCUAUUCAUCUCAUGUUUAAUUUGUCUGCAUACAACUGCUGAGAAAUAAAAUAUUCUGUUCAACUUUUAAAA